UGCAGUCGAGCGGUACAGAUCCAGCUUGCUGGAUGCUGACGAGCGGCGGACGGGUGAGUAAUGCAUAGGAAUCUGCCCGAUAGUGGGGGAUAACCUGGGGAAACCCAGGCUAAUACCGCAUACGUCCUACGGGAGAAAGGGGGCUCCGGCUCCCGCUAUGGGAUGAGCCUAUGUCGGAUUAGCUAGUUGGUGAGGUAACGGCUCACCAAGGCCACGAUCCGUAGCUGGUCUGAGAGGAUGAUCAUCCACAUCGGGACUGAGACACGGCCCGAACUCCUACGGGAGGCAGCAGUGGGGAAUAUUGGACAAUGGGGGAAACCCUGAUCCAGCCAUGCCGCGUGUGUGAAGAAGGCCCUCGGGUUGUAAAGCACUUUCAGCGAGGAAGAACGCCUAGCGGUUAAUACCCGCUAGGAAAGACAUCACUCGCAGAAGAAGCACCGGCUAACUCCGUGCCAGCAGCCGCGGUAAUACGGAGGGUGCAAGCGUUAAUCGGAAUUACUGGGCGUAAAGCGCGCGUAGGUGGCUUGAUAAGCCGGUUGUGAAAGCCCCGGGCUCAACCUGGGAACGGCAUCCGGAACUGUCAAGCUAGAGUGCAGGAGAGGAAGGUAGAAUUCCCGGUGUAGCGGUGAAAUGCGUAGAGAUCGGGAGGAAUACCGGUGGCGAAGGCGGGCUUCUGGACUGACACUGACACUGA
rnacentral:rRNA from 1 species